UGGGGAAUAUUGGACAAUGGGCGAAAGCCUGAUCCAGCCAUGCCGCGUGUGUGAAGAAGGUCUUCGGAUUGUAAAGCACUUUAAGUUGGGAGGAAGGGCAGUAAGCGAAUACCUUGCUGUUUUGACGUUACCGACAGAAUAAGCACCGGCUAACUCUGUGCCAGCAGCCGCGGUAAUACAGAGGGUGCAAGCGUUAAUCGGAAUUACUGGGCGUAAAGCGCGCGUAGGUGGUUCGUUAAGUUGAAUGUGAAAGCCCCGGGCUCAACCUGGGAACUGCAUCCAAAACAGGCGAGCUAGAGUAGGGCAGAGGGUGGUAGAAUUUCCUGUGUAGCGAUGAAAUGCGUAGAUAUAGGAAGGAAAACCAGUGGCGAAGGCGACCACCUGGGCUCAUACUGACACUGAGGUGCGAAAGCGUGGGGAGCAAACAGG
rnacentral:rRNA from 1 species